UACGUAGGGUGCGAGCGUUGUCCGGAAUUAUUGGGCGUAAAGAGCUCGUAGGCGGUUUGUUGCGUCGGCCGUGAAAACCUGCAGCUUAACUGUGGGCCUGCGGCCGAUACGGGCAGACUUGAGUUCGGUAGGGGAGACUGGAAUUCCUGGUGUAGCGGUGAAAUGCGCAGAUAUCAGGAGGAACACCGGUGGCGAAGGCGGUUCUCUGGGUAUUACCUGACGCUGAGGAGCGAAAGUGUGGGGAGCGAACAGG
rnacentral:rRNA from 1 species